AAUAAAAAACCUUUAAACUACACUUAAUUAGAAACAUAGGGAGUAUUAAAUAUUUUGGAAGUUUUAUUUUAGUAAAUAAUCGUGUAGUUAAUGUGGAGAGAUUUUGGGAAGAUUGUUAAAUGUCAAAUAUUUAAUUCGAAGAUUUUCUUUCUAAUUAUCAAAAACAAACAUUAAAUUUCAAUGGCAGCCAUUGUAAAUAAAUCUCGAUUACAGGAUUUAUUUCACAAAAUGACUGCAAAAAUGUAUAUAUAGUAAUGCUAGUAAACCAGAAUGAAACCAAACCAAAAACAAAACUAAAUAUCCAACUGGUAUGAAUUCAUGUU
rnacentral:sRNA from 1 species